rnacentral:pre_miRNA from 1 species
GGUUUCAACUGAAAAAGUCAUCAAUAACAAGGUUGUAUAACUCAUCAAGAUCUAUAACUUCUAUUUUGGUCAUUUCUUCAUCCAACAAAGUGAUUUGUAAGAUUUUUCACAAAAUGCACAUCUCUUAUAUAAAACUAUAUAAGAGAUGUGCAUUUUGUGAACAAUCUUACAAAUCACUUUGUUGGAUGAAGAAAUGACCAAAAUAGAAGUUAUAGAUCUUAAUGAGUUAUACAACCUUGUUAUUGAUGACUUUUUCAAUUGAAAUC